rnacentral:rRNA from 1 species
GCCAGACUCCUACGGGAGGCAGCAGUGGGGAAUAUUGGGCAAUGGAGGCAACUCUUACCCAGCAAUGCCGCGUGAAUGAAGAAGGUCUUCGGAUUGUAAAGUUCUUUAAUUGGGGACGAAAAAAAUGACGGUACCCAAGGAAUAAGCCCCGGCUAACUACGUGCCAGCAGCCGCGGUAAUACGUAGGGGGCAAGCGUUAUCCGGAUUUACUGGGUGUAAAGGGGGCGCAGACGGCAGCGCAAGCCAGGAGUGAAAGCCCGGGGCCCAACCCCGGGACUGCUCUUGGAACUGCGCGGCUGAAGUGCAGGAGGGGCAGGCGGAAUUCCUGGUGUAGCGGUGAAAUGCGUAGAUAUCAGGAGGAACACCGGUGGCGAAGGCGGCCUGCUGGACUGCGACUGACGUUGAGGCCCGAAAGCGUGGGGAGCAAACAGGAUUAGAUACCCUGGUAGA